GCUAGCGUGGCAGACUUGGUAAAUGCAA
rnacentral:tRNA from 1 species